rnacentral:rRNA from 1 species
UACAGAGGAGCCAAGCGUUGUCCGGAUUGACUGGGCGUAAAGCGCACGCAGGCGGACGCGCGCGUGGGGUGUGAAAUCUGGCCGCUUAACGGCCAGGCGCCAUCCCAUACGGCGCGUCUGGAGCCUUGCAGAGGUCGGUGGAAUUGCCGGUGUAGUGGUGAAAUGCGUAGAUAUCGUCAAGAACACCGAUAGCGAAGGCAGCUUACUGGGCUGUAACUGACGCUGAUGCACGAAAGUGUGGGGAUCAAACAGG